rnacentral:rRNA from 1 species
CUACGGGGCGCAGCAGUGGGGAAUAUUGCACAAUGGGGGAAACCCUGAUGCAGCAACGCCGCGUGGAGGAUGACGCAUUUCGGUGUGUAAACUCCUUUUAUAUAGGAAGAUAAUGACGGUACUAUAUGAAUAAGCACCGGCUAACUCCGUGCCAGCAGCCGCGGUAAUACGGAGGGUGCAAGCGUUACUCGGAAUCACUGGGCGUAAAGCGCGCGCAGGCGGCCCCUUAAGUUGGAUGUGAAAGCCUACGGCUUAACCGUAGAACUGCAUCCAAAACUGAGGGGCUAGAGUCUGGGGGGGAAGAUGGAAUUAGUUGUGUAGGGGUAAAAUCCGUAGAGAUAACUAGGAAUACCAAAAGCGAAGGCGAUCUUCUGGAACAGUACUGACGCUGAGGCGCGAAAGCGUGGGGAGCAAACAGAAUUAGAUACCCCCGUAGUC